GAUGAACGCUGGCGGCGUGCCUAAUACAUGCAAGUCGAGCGAACGGACGAGAAGCUUGCUUUUCUGAUGUUAGCGGCGGACGGGUGAGUAACACGUGGAUAACCUACCUAUAAGACUGGGAUAACUUCGGGAAACCGGAGCUAAUACCGGAUAAUAUUUUGAACCGCAUGGUUCAAAAGUGAAAGACGGUCUUGCUGUCACUUAUAGAUGGAUCCGCGCUGCAUUAGCUAGUUGGUAAGGUAACGGCUUACCAAGGCAACGAUGCAUAGCCGACCUGAGAGGGCGAUCGGCCACACUGGAACUGAGACACGGCCCAGACUCCUACGGGAAGCAGCAGUAGGGAAUCUUCCGCAAUGGGCGAAAGCCUGACGGAGCAACGCCGCGUGAGUGAUGAAGGUCUUCGGAUCGUAAAACUCUGUUAUUAGGGAAGAACAUAUGUGUAAGUAACUGUGCACAUCUUGACGGUACCUAAUCAGAAAGCCACGGCUAACUACGUG
rnacentral:rRNA from 1 species